rnacentral:rRNA from 1 species
GAUGAACGCUGGCGGCGUGCCUAAUACAUGCAAGUCGAGCGAACAGACGAGGAGCUUGCUCCUUUGACGUUAGCGGCGGACGGGUGAGUAACACGUAGGUAACCUACCUAUAAGACUGGGAUAACUUCGGGAAACCGGAGCUAAUACCGGAUAAUAUUUCGAACCGCAUGGUUCGAUAGUGAAAGAUGGCUUUGCUAUCACUUAUAGAUGGACCUGCGCCGUAUUAGCUAGUUGGUAAGGUAACGGCUUACCAAGGCAACGAUACGUAGCCGACCUGAGAGGGUGAUCGGCCACACUGGAACUGAGACACGGUCCAGACUCCUACGGGAGGCAGCAGUAGGGAAUCUUCCGCAAUGGGCGAAAGCCUGACGGAGCAACGCCGCGUGAGUGAUGAAGGUCUUCGGAUCGUAAAACUCUGUUAUUAGGGAAGAACAAACGUGUAAGUAACUGUGCACGUCUUGACGGUACCUAAUCAGAAAGCCACGGCUAACUACGUGCCAGCAGCCGCGGUAAUACGUAGGUGGCAAGCGUUAUCCGGAAUUAUUGGGCGUAAAGCGCGCGUAGGCGGUUUUUUAAGUCUGAUGUGAAAGCCCACGGCUCAACCGUGGAGGGUCAUUGGAAACUGGAAAACUUGAGUGCAGAAGAGGAAAGUGGAAUUCCAUGUGUAGCGGUGAAAUGCGCAGAGAUAUGGAGGAACACCAGUGGCGAAGG